AACGAACGCUGGCGGCAUGCCUAACACAUGCAAGUCGAACGAGACCUUCGGGUCUAGUGGCGCACGGGUGCGUAACGCGUGGGAACCUGCCUUUAGGUUCGGAAUAACUUCCCGAAAGGGGUGCUAAUACCGGAUAAUGUCUUCGGCCCAAUGAUUUAUCGCCAUUGGUUGGGCCCGCGUUGGAUUAGCUAGUUGGUAGGGUAAAAGCCUACCAAGGCGCCGCUUCAUGGCUGGGCUGAGAGGAGGAUCAGCCACACUGGGACUGAGACACGGCCCAGACUCGUACGGGAGGGAGCAGUGGGGAAUAUUAGACAAGGAGCGAAAGCGUGGUCCAGCAGUGCCGCGGGAGUGAGGAAUGCCUUAGGGUUGUAAAGCUCGUUUACCCGGGAUGAUAGUGACGGUACCGGGAGAAGAAGCGCCGGCUAACUCCGUG
rnacentral:rRNA from 1 species